GACGAACGCUGGCGGCGUGCUUAACACAUGCAAGUCGAACGGUAAGGCCCCAGCUUGCUGGGGUACACGAGUGGCGAACGGGUGAGUAACACGUGGGUGACCUGCCCCGCACUUCGGGAUAAGCCUGGGAAACUGGGUCUAAUACCGGAUAGGACCGCACCGUGAGGGUGUGGUGGAAAGUUUUUCGGUGUGGGAUGGGCCCGCGGCCUAUCAGCUUGUUGGUGGGGUAAUGGCCUACCAAGGCGGCGACGGGUAGCCGGCCUGAGAGGGUGGACGGCCACAUUGGGACUGAGACACGGCCCAGACUCCUACGGGAGGCAGCAGUGGGGAAUAUUGCACAAUGGGCGGAAGCCUGAUGCAGCGACGCCGCGUGGGGGAUGACGGCCUUCGGGUUGUAAACUCCUUUCACCAUCGACGAAGGUUUUCUGACGGUAGAUGGAGAAGAAGCACCGGCUAACUACGG
rnacentral:rRNA from 1 species